AGGAGAGUAAUCCACAGAGACUCCGUGCCACAAAAUGAUUGACAAAACGUUACAAAAUCUGGCCAGAUAAUUUCAAGUCAAAGUGGAGUCAAGUCUCAAGUUAUUUUCUUUUCUAUCAAGUCGAGUCUCAAAUCAUCAGAUUUGUGACUUCAGUCAGAUUCCAGUCCAUGUCAUGUGACUCGAGUCCACAUCUGAUUAUUACAUGUCCAUUUACCACUAUGAAUAUUCUGAUGUGAAUCAAAAAUAUGCAUUCUCAGAGUUCUGUCACAUUACCAAGUGAUUCGUACAUUUGUAGAAAGACAUUCGCAAGUCAAAUGAUUUGAGCAGACCUGGAGGACCUUUUUUACUCCUGGCCAAUCAGCUAAAACCACAGCCGCCUAUUGCUCCAACCAUUGGCUGGAUUGUUCCAUCAGUCAAAUCUCAGGAAUUAGCUUGAAGAGGAAAAGAGAAGUCAUUUCUACAAAGUAACAACGUUACUUAAUCCUCGGCCUGAAGUACUAGAAUAAAAGUCUACUUGAAGGUUUCUCGUCUGAUUUCCAGGAGCCUGGUGGAGAUACAGUAGAUACAACCAUACUCCGAGUCCUGCAGGCCAUUUCCCUGCAUCCAGGUUGAGACCUACCAGCAGGAACAUGGAGCACUCCAUGUCAGUGCUACAGAGAGAAUAUUCCAAGGACCACCAAAGCCUUCUGGCCAACAACCUGCAAUCUCUCCAGAGUAGAGAAGUGAGUCUGCUGGGCCAUGGAACUCUAGAGCAGCACAUGUAAAAACCUGCCACCCUGUUGUCAGCCAGCAGCAGACAGUUAGUUCCCUGAGGAAGGAUGCAACUGUGAAGGCUUUUCCAUGGCCAAAUGUAGGGGGGAGGGGGUUGAUCCCCAAAUGCAAUAAAGUUUUGUCUACUCAUGUCUUUAAAAAAACUUUUAAAAACAAUGUUGUUUAAUCCAUAUAAUUCUAUUUGUAAAAUGCUGCGAUAUGCCUGGCUGGGCCUCUCUUGCUUGCAGCGCACACUGCCCAAAUUGCGGGCCCUUCCGACUGUAGGCUGCGAUUUUAAAACUUUUUUUUUUAAAGAAGCAAUUGAUCCUCUGUGGUUAAAUCAUCCUUUCUUGUGUAGUAGCCUAUUUUUAAUGAUUAUGUAUUUCUGUAUAGACAGGAGUAAACUAAUUAGGCUAUAUAAUUCAAUUUACUUCAGGGAAAGCUUAGCUUUCCCUAGCAAUAUGGACAUGCCCCCUGUUCCUUUUUAAUGUGGCAUGAACACAACCAGUCAUGAUG